rnacentral:lncRNA from 1 species
AUUUUAUCUAUAUUAUUGAAAAUUUUCUUCAUGUGAAGAAUCCUUACAUCACAAUAGAAAAUGAUCAUAAUCAGUUUCUUCACAUUAUGAUGUAAUUGUAGCCUUUAGCAGAAUUUCAUAUUUUUCAUUGCAUAUGAGAGCUAAUUUUCUUGUCAUAUCAUUCCUAGUGCAUAUGUUUUUUACAUUAAGUCAUUGUCUAGUUCUAGUAAUAUUGACUAAUCAAUAAUCUAAAUCUGUACAUUUCCAUGCCAUUCUUAUUUUUCACUCUCAUAAUUUUUUUCUUUAUGUAAUCCAUUUUGACACUUCUCUCCAUCAUGUUCUUUAAGAAUAAAGUUACUUACUGAAUUAAAAAUGAUUUAGUAAUUUAUCUUUUCUAUUUGUUUAAUAACAAACUAGCCCCAUCAUUAUUGCUUCUUGUAUGAUAGAACAGAAUAGAAGGAUACAUAAGAAAGAUGAAGAGAAACUUGAAACAAAAGUAAAAGAGCAUCAGUGCAAUCAGAGCCAACACUAGACAAAGGUAAAGCAAGCACCAGCUUAGACUGCCAAGCUUGAAGGAGAUACUCCAUGAAUUAGAAUAGAUUUCAUUCAUAUUUUCAUAUUUUAAUUAUUUUUUAAUCAAUUUUCACAAAUAAUACCUCUUUCCUUCCUUUUCACCUUUUUUUAUUUUAUUUUAAAAUUGCAGAUGAUAAACUUUUACAAAUAUAAAAUAAUCACAACUAUAAAUGCACAAAUAUAAGAAGUUUAGCAAGAAAUAAAUUUAGAUUUGAAAAAUAAAAAUCUUCACAGUACUAAUUCAUUAGAAUAUCUUUGAUAUUAUAGAAGUAAUGGUAAAUUUGAAUACAUAUUCUUUGUUAUAUGCAGCUUUCCAAUUGGAGGUUACUGAGUGACAGAUGAUUCCAAUACCUAUUAAGGGCUUGUGGUAGGGUCAGUCACCAGGUGAAGGAUGAGAUUCAAUGAGCUGGGCCUAUAUCAUCUUCUAGAAAAUUUUUCAAAAUAUAUGAUCCAGAAAUUGAAUAUGAAUCUUUUAGAUGAUAAACCAGCAGUUUAUCAUGCAGCCAUCAGCUGACAAUUUGAAUGUCAUAAAGGAAGUGAAAAUGAAAUCAUUAUUAGAUCCAGUUUUCAGUCAUUAUCGUCAUGUACAAUGUUGGCAUAUGAAGGUAUGCUCUAUCCACUCUAACUUGGCAGUAAGUGUGAACAAAAGUUAUCAUAUUCAUCUGCGACUGAUGCCUAUGAUUGGCUUAUGAGAAAUACACCUCACAGAACAGAAUCUCAUUUAACUUCUGUAAUUACUAUCAUCAAAAUUGCAUAAAUUCAGUGUACUUAUGACAAAAAUAAGAAAAGAGAAUAAACCUAGUAUGAAAAAAUUUUAUUUCAAAAUGUAUUAUAGAUUAAUAGGCUUCUAUAUAUUUA